rnacentral:rRNA from 1 species
UACGAAGGGGGCUAGCGUUGCUCGGAAUCACUGGGCGUAAAGCGCACGUAGGCGGAUUUUUAAGUCAGGGGUGAAAUCCUGGAGCUCAACUCCAGAACUGCCUUUGAUACUGGGUAGUCUUGAGUCGAUGGAAGAGGUGAGGUGAAUUCCGAGUGUAGAGGUGAAAUUCGUAGAUAUUCGGAGAACACCAGUGGCGAAGGCGGACUCACUGGUCCCAUAUGACGCUGAGGUGCGAAAGCGUGGGGAGCAAACAG